GAUGAACGCUAGCGGUAGGCUUAACACAUGCAAGUCGAGGGGUAACAGGGUAGCAAUACUGCUGACGACCGGCGCACGGGUGAGUAACGCGUAUGCAAUCUGCCUUUAACUGGAGAACAGCUUCGAGAAAUCGGAAUUAAUACUCCAUAAUAUUAACGAAUCGCAUGGUUUGUUAAUUAAAGCUCCGGCGGUUAAAGAUGAGCAUGCGUGACAUUAGUUUGUUGGUGAGGUAACGGCUCACCAAGACUACGAUGUCUAGGGGGUCGUGAGAGGAUGGUCCCCACACUGGUACUGAGACACGGACCAGACUCCCACGGGAGGCAGCAGUGAGGAAUAUUGGUCAAUGGCGCGAAGCUGAACCAGCCAUACGCGUGAAGGAUGAAGGCUCUAGUAGUUGUAAACUUCUUUUAUAUGGGAAGAAACUAGCUCUCGUGAGAGUAGUU
rnacentral:rRNA from 1 species